UCCUUAACCUCCUGGGACUAAGCAUAUCAAUAAGCGGAGGAAAAGAAACCAACAGGGAUUGCCUCAGUAACGGCGAGUGAAGCGGCAUCAGCUCAAAUUUGAAAUCUGGCCCUUUUAGGGUCCGAGUUGUAAUUUGCAGAGGGCGCUUUGGCAUAGGCAGCGAUUCAAGUUCCUUGGAACAGGACGUCACAGAGGGUGAGAAUCCCGUACGUGGUCGCUAGCUCUUGCCGUGUAAAGCCCCUUCGACGAGUCGAGUUGUUUGGGAAUGCAGCUCUAAAUGGGAGGUAAAUUUCUUCUAAAGCUAAAUAUUGGCCAGAGACCGAUAGCGCACAAGUAGAGUGAUCGAAAGAUGAAAAGUACUUUGGAAAGAGAGUCAAAAAGCACGUGAAAUUGUUGAAAGGGAAGCGCUUGCAGCCAGACUUGCCUGUAGUUGCUCAUCCGGGCUUUUGCCCGGUGCACUCUUCUGUAGGCAGGCCAGCAUCAGUUUGGGCGGUUGGAUAAAGGUCUCUGUCAUGUACCUCUCUUUGGGGAGGCCUUAUAGGGGAGACGACAUACAACCAGCCUAGACUGAGGUCCGCGCAUUUAUGCUAGGAUGCUGGCGUAAUGGCUGUAAGCGGCCCGUCUUGAAACACGGACCAAGGAGUCUAACAUCUAUGCGAGUGUUUGGGUGUCAAGCCCGAGCGCGUAAUGAAAGUGAACGGAGGUGGGAACCCUUUUGGGCGCACCAUCGACCGAUCCUGGGGGGG
rnacentral:rRNA from 1 species